rnacentral:rRNA from 1 species
CCUGGCUCAGGACGAACGCUGGCGGCGCGCCUAACACAUGCAAGUCGAACGGAGCUUAGAGAGCUUGCUUUUUAAGCUUAGUGGCGAACGGGUGAGUAACGCGUGAGUAACCUGCCCUAGAGUGGGGGACAACAGUUGGAAACGACUGCUAAUACCGCAUAAGCCCACGGUACCGCAUGGUACUGAGGGAAAAGGAUUUAUUCGCUUUAGGAUGGACUCGCGUCCAAUUAGCUAGUUGGUGAGGUAACGGCCCACCAAGGCGACGAUUGGUAGCCGGACUGAGAGGUUGAACGGCCACAUUGGGACUGAGACACGGCCCAGACUCCUACGGGAGGCAGCAGUGGGGGAUAUUGCACAAUGGGGGAAACCCUGAUGCAGCGACGCCGCGUGGAGGAAGAAGGUUUUCGGAUUGUAAACUCCUGUCGUUAGGACGAUAAUGACGGUACCUAACAAGAAAGCACCGGCUAACUACGUGCCAGCAGCCGCGGUAAAACGUAGGGUGCAAGCGUUGUCCGGAAUUACUGGGUGUAAAGGGAGCGCAGGCGGGAAGACAAGUUGGAAGUGAAAACCAUGGGCUCAACCCAUGAAUUGCUUUCAAAACUGUUUUUCUUGAGUAGUGCAGAGGUAGAUGGAAUUCCCGGUGUAGCGGUGGAAUGCGUAGAUAUCGGGAGGAACACCAGUGGCGAAGGCGGUCUACUGGGCACCAACUGACGCUGAGGCUCGAAAGCAUGGGUAGCAAACAGGAUUAGAUACCCUGGUAGUCCAUGCCGUAAACGAUGAUUACUAGGUGUUGGGGGAUUGACCCCCUCAGUGCCGCAGUUAACACAAUAAGUAAUCCACCUGGGGAGUACGACCGCAAGGUUGAAACUCAAAGGAAUUGACGGGGGCCCGCACAAGCAGUGGAGUAUGUGGUUUAAUUCGAAGCAACGCGAAGAACCUUACCAGGUCUUGACAUCCGAUGCAUAACACAGAGAUGUGUGAAAUCCUUCGGGACAUCGAGACAGGUGGUGCAUGGUUGUCGUCAGCUCGUGUCGUGAGAUGUUGGGUUAAGUCCCGCAACGAGCGCAACCCUUAUUGCCAGUUACUACGUUAAGAGGACUCUGGCGAGACUGCCGUUGACAAAACGGAGGAAGGUGGGGAUGACGUCAAAUCAUCAUGCCCUUUAUGACCUGGGCUACACACGUACUACAAUGGCGUUAAACAAAGAGAAGCAAGACCGCGAGGUGGAGCAAAACUCAAAAACAACGUCUCAGUUCAGAUUGCAGGCUGCAACUCGCCUGCAUGAAGUCGGAAUUGCUAGUAAUCGCGGAUCAGCAUGCCGCGGUGAAUACGUUCCCGGGCCUUGUACACACCGCCCG